UCACAGUAUCAAGCUUGGCUUGUUGUUGGGCCCUUUUGUCACUUGGUGACAGGCCCAAAAGAUAAUGGCCGGUGUCGUAAAGACCCUAUAUGCAACGAGCUUAUAACAGCACGCAUCUAGUAGUCAUACGGCCCGGUUGUCACCCCUUAUUUCUCCCAA
rnacentral:misc_RNA from 1 species